rnacentral:rRNA from 1 species
ACGAAGUCUUCGGACUGAGUGGCGGACGGGUGAGUAACGCGUGAGAAUCUGCCUAGAGGUCGGGGACAACCAUUGGAAACGAUGGCUAAUACCGGAUAUGCCUUACGGGGUGAAAGAUUAAUUGCCUUUAGAAGAGCUCGCGUCUGAUUAGCUAGUUGGUGAGGUAAGAGCUCACCAAGGCAGCGAUCAGUAGCUGGUCUGAGAGGAUGACCAGCCACACUGGGACUGAGACACGGCCCAGACUCCUACGGGAGGCAGCAGUGGGGAAUUUUCCGCAAUGGGCGAAAGCCUGACGGAGCAAGACCGCGUGAGGGAGGAAGGCUCUUGGGUUGUAAACCUCUUUUGUCAGGGAAGAACAAAAUGACGGUACCUGACGAAUCAGCAUCGGCUAACUCCGUGCCAGCAGCCGCGGUAAUACGGAGGAUGCAAGCGUUAUCCGGAAUUAUUGGGCGUAAAGCGUCCGCAGGUGGCUGAUCAAGUCUGCGGUCAAAGACCGGGGCUUAACCCUGGAAAGGCCGUGGAAACUGAUAGAGCUAGAGUACCGUAGGGGUAGAGGGAAUUCCCGGUGUAGCGGUGAGAUGCGUAGAGAUCGGGAAGAACAUCGGUGGCGAAAGCGCUCUACUGGACGGUGACUGACACUCAGGGACGAAAGCUAGGGGAGCGAAUGGGAUUAGAUACCCCAGUAGUCCUAGCCGUA